GAGACAAACAUUCUGAAGUUUCUGAUAAAGCAAUAAGGCUGGGUGAUUUAGUUUCUCCACCCAUGCCAGGGGUGAUGUUUGAAGCUGAUGGUCGUUACCUUUUUCUUUUUGUAGAUCAAAAUUCUUCUUUCAAGCUGUUUGACCACUGCCAAGGGCCUCUGGUUUAUCACUCUCCAUUACAGUGGUUUCUGUUUAACUCGCUGAAUGGCAGCCUGAUUCCUGGCAGCUACUUUAAAUCUGCACGACCAGAAAAGUUGGAAGGACAAGAGGGAGUGAAGAGCCCCAUGUGCUUUUUCAGAGGAAGAACUACUACAUCUUUUGCUAACGGCAUAAAUAAAUGCAUCAACUUCCAGCUCUUGUUCACAUGGUAGCUGCAAUAUAAUGGAGCCAUUACUGCGUCACACUGCUGCUGCCCAACUCCCGGCAUGCAGAUUGAACCUAUGCCCCAGGUGAUUCAUCAUGUUAUAAAGUUUGUUUGUUCUCUGGUCCAUGAGCAACACACUGUAAUAAAAUCUGGCUAUAGUUGUCAAAGAA